rnacentral:rRNA from 1 species
GUGGGGAAUAUUGGACAAUGGGCGCAAGCCUGAUCCAGCCAUGCCGCGUGAGUGAUGAAGGCCCUAGGGUUGUAAAGCUCUUUCGCCAGGGACGAUAAUGACGGUACCUGGAUAAGAAGCCCCGGCUAACUUCGUGCCAGCAGCCGCGGUAAUACGAAGGGGGCUAGCGUUGUUCGGAAUCACUGGGCGUAAAGCGCACGUAGGCGGAUCUUUAAGUCAGGGGUGAAAUCCCGAGGCUCAACCUCGGAACUGCCUUUGAUACUGGGGAUCUCGAGUCCGGGAGAGGUGAGUGGAACUGCGAGUGUAGAGGUGAAAUUCGUAGAUAUUCGCAAGAACACCAGUGGCGAAGGCGGCUCACUGGCUCGAUACUGACGCUGAGGUGCGAAAGCGUGGGGAGCAAACAGGAUUAGAAACCCCAGUAGUCC